AUUGAACGCUGGCGGCAGGCCUAACACAUGCAAGUCGAGCGGAUGAAGGGAGCUUGCUCCCUGAUUUAGCGGCGGACGGGUGAGUAAUGCCUAGGAAUCUGCCUGGUAGUGGGGGAUAACGUUCCGAAAGGAACGCUAAUACCGCAUACGUCCUACGGGAGAAAGCAGGGGACCUUCGGGCCUUGCGCUAUCAGAUGAGCCUAGGUCGGAUUAGCUAGUUGGUGAGGUAAUGGCUCACCAAGGCGACGAUCCGUAACUGGUCUGAGAGGAUGAUCAGUCACACUGGAACUGAGACACGGUCCAGACUCCUACGGGAGGCAGCAGCGGGGAAUAUUGGACAAUGGGCGAAAGCCUGAUCCAGCCAUGCCGCGUGUGUGAAGAAGGUCUUCGGAUUGUAAAGCACUUUAAGCUGGGAGGAAGGGCAGUAAGCUAAUACCUUGCUGUUUUGACGUUACCGACAGAAUAAGCACCGGCUAACUUCGUGCCAGCAGCCGCAGUAAAAC
rnacentral:rRNA from 1 species